CCUGGCUGUGCCCCCCAUCCCAAACACACCUGGGGGCUAUUCGGGUGCUGCUCAAUCCACCUAGCUGGCUGUGCCCUCAGUUAACUGCUGCCCAGCCCCCCCCUCCUUCCAAACACACACGUAACUGGGCCUGUCCUUCCCCACCUUCUGCCCAGCCUCCAUGCCCCAAACAAUCUCUGCCAGCUGCUAGGCCUUGCCUGACACUCAUCCGGGACUGCUUCUUAUCCACAUUCCAAGGAGUGUCUUGUUCUCGACCCAGCUCAGACGAGUGACCUGAUUUUAAAAGUCACUUUCUGAAUAACGAGGCGCUUUGUCCUUGCUCCCAUCACCACAGAUAAAGGGCACCUUAUCUGCCUUCUCCUUGAUAAGAUGGCGCUUUCCGGAUUACUGGGGAAAGUGUUUAGGUGAAUUUAGUGCUGGUGUAUGGUGCUGAAUUAUGUGACCUUCAACUGAGACAUGAAAGAUGCUGGAUUGGAAGCUCUGGAGACUGAAGCUUCCUAUUUACUACAGAACAGCAACUUCCUGCUGUGUGAAUCAACGGGCUGAAUUUUGAGAAGCAUCAUGUUCCAUCUGGGGCUCUGUGGACAGCCUUCUAUUCCUGGAUCCAUCCCAAAAGCUCAAGUUCACUGCCCACUGUUCACUGCCCACUGUUCUGAUUUUGUUUCCUCAGGCCUGGAAAAACUAUCUCAGAUUUUAUCUCCCCCCAUCCCCCAAGUAGGGUGAGAGCAUUUUGCAGCAGGAGUCUCCUGGAAUCGGAGA